rnacentral:rRNA from 1 species
UACGUAGGGGGCUAGCGUUGUCCGGAUUUAUUGGGCGUAAAGAGCGUGUAGGCGGCCAGGUAGGUCUGGUGUGAAAACUCGAGGCUUAACCUCGAGAUGUCAUCGGAAACCAUUUGGCUAGAGUCCGGAAGAGGAGAGUGGAAUUCCACGUGUAGCGGUGAAAUGCGCAGAUAUCAGGAAGAACACCAAUGGCGAAGGCAGUUCUCUGGGACGGUACUGACGCUGAGACGCGAAAGCGUGGGGAGCGAACAGG